rnacentral:lncRNA from 1 species
AAUAGAAAAAAGUUGCAAUUCCUUGCCUCCACUGUGAGACAAACCCCAACCACAUCUCUAGCACACAAGAACUUCCAAAUGCCUGAACCGCAGCGGCCAGGCGUUCCUCCAGUACCGCCUCCCCCAGGAGCUUGCUACAAGUGCCAGAAAUCUGGCCACCAGGCCAAGGAAUGCCUGCAGCCCAGGAUUCCUCCUAAGCCGCGUCCCAUCUGUGCGAGACCCCACUGGAAAUCGGACUGUCCAACUCACCUGGCAGCCACUCCCAGAGCCCCUGGAACUCUGGCCCAAGGCUCUCUGACUCCUUCCCAGAUCUUCUUGGCUUAGCGGCUGAAGACUGACGCUGCCCAGUCGCCUCGGAAGCCCCCCUACAUCAUGGACGCUGAGCUUCAGAUAACUCUCACAGUGGAAGUGUUGCUCACACAAAGCCUGUUUGGUGGUCUCUUCACACGGACGCGCAUGAAAAAGCCUUUGCUAGAUUUUUUGCUCACUUGGUACUGAAGAUGAAAAAAGAGUUUGGUCCAGAGAGCUGCCUUAGACUCCCCAGUAAAUCUAUUCAAACAGCUGCCUCUGUUACCUUGACUCGUCUCAGAUGUCAUCGACCUGAGAUGGCUCCUGGCGCAAGGAAGACAUUAAGGGAAAUUUUCAAGACAAAAUUCCAAUUCAGCUACUUACCUAAGAAUGAAGCCCUGGCUGAAGACUGCUCUAUACAAUCUUAGAAGCAGGAAAAAUUCAAACUCUCCAUUCCUGUUGGAAGUGAGCUGAAACUUCAAAAAAGAGUUGCCAUCCAUCAUCAUAGAAGCAGGAAAAUUCAUCUUCCUUGUUGAAAAUAAGUGAAACUCCAGGGCAUUCCAGAGUCAACCUAAAAAUCAAGUUCAGGCCAUGAUGGAAGAGACGGAGUUGGACAUGCCUCAUUAUUCCCUACUGCCUUUUGGAACUCAGGAAAAGCUGAUCAGCAUUAACAUCAACACAGACCUUAGUCUGAUAAGAAGCAUUUAUAAUCUAUUGUCUCUGAAACUUGCUAUUUGGUGGCUUCGUCUGCAUCAUAAAACUAUCUCCAAAAACCCUCAUUUUAACCUAGACAUUCUUUUCUAUUGAUAUAACUCUUUCAACCAAUUGCCAAUCAGAAAAGUUUUAAAUCUGUUUAUGACCUGGAAGCCCCCACUUUGAAUUGUUCCACACUUCCAGAUCAAGCCAAUGUAAAUCUUAUAUGCAUUGAUUGAUGCAUUAUGUCUCCCUAAAAUGUACAAAAAGCUAGCUGUACCCUGACCCCAUUGGGCACAUGUCAUCAGGACCUCCUGAGGCUGUUUCACAGGCAUGUCUUUAACCUUGGUAAAAUAAACUUUCUAAAUGAGGGAUUCUAACUAUUUGAGGAACUGCUAGAUUCCACAAUGCCUGAUAGACUGCUCUCAUCUCACAACAGCUGUUUGGCUUGAGGGAAGCAGUUUCAACGUGAACAAGCAACAUCCUGUUUGAAAGCUGCUCCUCUGAUUAAAGAAGAGUCAGGGAAAUCUAGUGAAAUAUGUUUGCUCAUUGGUGGAAGUCACUUGCCUUGUAUCAGAUGAGACUACAGACUUGGACUUUUAGGUUAAUUCUGAAAUGAGUUAAGACUUUGGGGAACUGUAUGGAAAGCAUAAUUGUGCUUUGAAAUGUGAGAAAAAUGAGAUCUGACAGGGGCCAGUGGCAGAAUGAUAUGGUCUGGCUCAUGGCAAUUCCCCCAUGCUAUUUUCAUAUUAGUGAGUGAGUUCUCAUAAGAGCUGAUGGUUUUACAAGGGGAUUUCCCCCCUUUCACUCUCCUCUCCUCUCUCCUGACACCCAUA